rnacentral:lncRNA from 1 species
AACACCACCGCGUCAACGCGUCACUACACUUCACCACAAUAGGCCCCUUUUUGGGAGAGUUUUUCUGCACGAAAAACUGUUGCUCAGUUCGUGACGUCACUCAA